rnacentral:misc_RNA from 1 species
GGCAUAGUAUGAUAGAGCAAGGACCUGUAAAAUAGAGAAGAGCACAGAAAGAACAUAACUAUGCAGGACCAUAGAGACAUAUACAGUUCCAACCAUGGUACCGAUGAAUCCCAAUGUAAAAGGGAGCCUCUCUUUAGAAGACAUAUGCGCAAGUUGAUUCUUGGGACCUUUGAGUGCAAAGAAUGAACCAAUGAUGAAGGCACAACCAAUGGUGAAGCAGAUAGCAAAUUUCUGAGGCACCAACACCAUGACAGGAAGAAACAUGGUGAAUGCAACAAAUAUAAAGAACACUCCAGCAGCAAGGAGCACUCCAAAGUACAUGAGAGAUUUUCCAGAAGGAACAUUGCUAGUGGCGGACUGAAAGUUGCCAGGCAAAUCCCUCACUCCUUUUGAUACCACGCUGAAAGUACCAGUGACUUUGUCACUGGUGGUACGAACGGCAGCUUCGAGAUCGAAGCCAAGAUCAGAAGAAUCGGCGUCCUGAGAAGCAGCGUAAGCGUUCCAAUCAGCGAGUAAAGAGGAGGAUUUGGGUAGCUGCUGAUCGUUGAAUGUAGUGGUGGCGCUUGGGCCUCCGGUAAACCAUGAUUGCGCCGUUUUCUGCAUCUCAGAGUGUGUAAUUGGUUACAGAAGAAGCUCAAUCUUAGUAUCUGCGAUCUCAACCUUAAAGAAGGCUUAGAUUGGACGUGGUAGUAAUAUAAGAAUUGAGACCGAAUAGGGUGACUUUCGCGCCAGCUUCCAGCCUU